CAGUAGCCACGGUAAUACGAAGGGGGCUAGCGUUGUUCGGAAUUACUGGGCGUAAAGCGCACGUAGGCGGAUAUUUAAGUCAGGGGUGAAAUCCCAGAGCUCAACUCUGGAACUGCCUUUGAUACUGGGUAUCUUGAGUACGGAAGAGGUGAGUGGAAUUCCGAGUGUAGAGGUGAAAUUCGUAGAUAUUAGGAGGAACACCAGUGGCGAAGGCGGCUCACUGGUCCAUUACUGACGCUGAGGUGCGAAAGCGUGGGGAGCAAACAGGAUUAGAGACCCCUGUAGUCCCUGUCUCUUAUAC
rnacentral:rRNA from 1 species